UGGGGAAUAUUGCACAAUGGGCGCAAGCCUGAUGCAGCGACGCCGCGUGAGGGAUGACGGCCUUCGGGUUGUAAACCUCUUUCAGCUCCGACGAAGCGCAAGUGACGGUAGGGGUAGAAGAAGGACCGGCCAACUACGUGCCAGCAGCCGCGGUAAUACGUAGGGUCCGAGUGUUGUCCGGAAUUACUGGGCGUAAAGAGCUCGUAGGUGGUUUGUCGCGUUGUUCGUGAAAACUCACAGCUCAACUGUGGGCGUGCGGGCGAUACGGGCAGACUUGAGUACUGCAGGGGAGACUGGAAUUCCUGGUGUAGCGGUGGAAUGCGCAGAUAUCAGGAGGAACACCGGUGGCGAAGGCGGGUCUCUGGGCAGUAACUGACGCUGAGGAGCGAAAGCGUGGGGAGCGGAACAGGAUUAGAUACCCUGGUAGUCCACGCCGUAAACGGUGGGUACUAGGUGUGGGUUUCCUUCCUUGGGAUCCGUGCCGUAGCUAACGCAUUAAGUA
rnacentral:rRNA from 1 species